AAUAGUUUUAUGCUACAUCAGUAUUCUUAUCCUGAAUUUCAGGAUUUUAAUUUGGAUUUUGUUUUUUUCAGGAUAAAAUCCUGAAAUUCAGGAUAAGAGUACUGAUGUGGCAUAAAACUAUU
rnacentral:pre_miRNA from 1 species